GUGGGUGGAGUUCUGAGGAUCAAACUCCUCAUCAAUUCUAGCAGGAUUCUUGACCCAAGCAAGCAUACAUCUUCAAACUUCAAAAUAAGAGAAGAAAUUUCAGUCAACACUAUUUAACAUUGUGUUUCCCUUGUAUAUUUAGUUAUUCUUAGACCCUAAACAGUCAAUGUGUGCGACCACAUUGUGUUAGAGAAGAAACUUUCUUUUCUAUAUUCUGAUUGGCUAGGAUGCCUGAUUAUUCUUUGCUUGGAUGUCCGGGUACUCUGAUAUUACACGUGAACAACUGUUAUUCUGCAUA